GUAGCCCUCACGAUGACUGCCGGCCGCAUCACCAGUUUUGCUGGCAUCCAGAUCGCUAACUACCUCCUGGGGACCAAUUGCGAACUGGGAUUCUAUUUACGGUGCCAUCUUCGCUUCAUCAGCGAUCGUGGCAUCGUUUCUCCCCGACGAUCGAUUAUUGCGGAGCCCCCAGCGUCCU